UUCUCGUGCUGAUAUAUUUCACAGGUCUCUUCCUGGGAGUAGCUCUAACAGUAUGGUUUCGGGGCUGUGACCCGACGUUGCUGGGAGAAAUUUCCAGCAUAGACCAAAUUGUGCCUUAUUAUAUCAACACAUACCUGAUGGACGUUCCUGGAUUUUCUGGAUUAUUUCUCGCUGGUAUCGUGAGCGCUGCAACAAGUACAGUGUCCUCGACAGUGAAUUCCCAAGCUGCUAUUUUGUACGUGGAUGUCAUUGCACAUCGAUGGAAAAAUGCUGAGAACCACGUGCUGUGGAUUACGCGUG